UUAUAUACAGAGCCCGUAUCGCAACAACAAGAGAAGAACAGCAAACUGAGCAGAAGAAGAUUGUAUACUUGGUAUGGAUUAUUGUUUAACCGUUAUAUAUGUAAAUUAAUAAUGGUUAACCAAACGAAAUCGAAAUAUGUUAAUAACGGUUAACCUAAUCGGCUAACCAAAUCGAGAUUAUAUACAGAGCCCAUAUCGUAUUUUGUAUUGUUGAUGUUGGUUUGAUGCAGAAUUUUUUUUAAUUGAAACGAAC
rnacentral:lncRNA from 1 species